CGAAGCGGAUAUUCUCGGUGGCACGUUGAUCGUGUGGCGCCACCUGCGUACCAACCCGAGUGCGACUGCGGGAGAGUGCCGCCGUAUGACGCUAGAUGGCGUGGGUGCUCUGUCUGGUGGCGCUGACGACUGAGACCGAAACUGAAAGUGUCAUGCUAUCAGCUGGAUUUUCAUGCAACCAGCUGAUCGUUCGAAGGCAGAAGGGUGUGGUUGGAAAAAUACCGGCAUGGUCUUUGUCUGAGCCUUUUCUGUGACGGUCGGGCUUACUUUGAAACCUACAUGUCAAGUUGAAGGCGUCUGAGCGAUACUUCGUCUACACUGACUACCAACGUUGUACCGCAAUAUAUAUCCACGCCAAUUUCCAA